GAAUUCGGUAAUUAUUCGUUUUCGUGACACGUAUUCAGGACUUUUUUGGUAGAAUUGUUUACACCUGAUCUCCAUGAUAGUCCACCCUGGACACUAAUCCAGACACAUUAACCUUCCCAGAAACCAGUGUCAUGCAAACUCGUUCGAGUCCAAAUGCUUUCCGAGUUUCAAAGUUUUGCGAUCGUCUAAAUAUUUCAAAUUAAUGGUAACGAUAAACUUUGUCGGAUAGAAAAACUUUCAGUAUAGUAAUAGUCUGUAUCACCUGGCAAUCUGACUUCCUUGAAUAGCACAAACCGUCGUCUUUUUAUAUCCUUGCAUUAUGGAAACUGUACAAAAGUAAGGACAAUUAGUAGUGGUCAAAUGCAAGUGUUACUCCGGAGCUCCUAUUGAACCACUAAUAAUCUAAUCGUUGCACAAUUAUUUCGUGAUUACUUUGUGUGGAAAUGAACCACAACGGCAGCCGAUACACGUCGUUCGCCUUUGCUAGUGGAGGGAUCGCUGGCAGCGGCGGUGCCCGAGGGGAACUGAGCAGUGGUAAUUUGAGCAGAAAGCUGAGUAGUCCGAUGGCAGAGUCGACACAGCUGGACAGCAGCGGUAUCCGGGGGAAUCUUUACGACAGUCCGGUACGACAUGUUGGAGUUGGGAAAAGAAGCCUACCUCUCCGUUGCAAAAUAGCAGGACAAAUUUUAGAAGCAGCUGAACGGCGUCCGGGUCCAGUAUGGAUCGAUUGAUUGAUCCUAAGAUUUACACGGAUGUUCAGAGCCGAGGAUUGGUUAACCGGUUGGUAAAGAACCACGAUAAAACGCAAUCGCCGUUAAAUAGGAGUCAAUCGAUGACUAGCCUGUACUCGAAGCCGGGUCAAUUUCCUGUGUGGUGGAGGAGAAAUAAUUCUUCGAUAGCUACCAUUGGUUCGGAUUUCCCCGUCAGAGAAGUCCGUGUUUCAGGCUGACACAAGGUGGAACAUUUUACGGGAGGGAUCGUUGCUCAUUCCGGCGGAACCUCAUCUGAAGAUGGUCCGAACACAUAGACAUGAGGAUAAGAUUGAUGCGGAAAAUAGUGUGAUUGCGCCUUCAACAGAACUGGAUGCCGAUUGGAUCAAGAAACAAUGUAAGGAACUAUCGGAGGUUGAUUCAGGCGAAGCUGGUACGAAGCAAGCUCGGGAAAUUACAUACACGGCUUCGCACCCGUGUCGAGGGUCGACGAAUCAGCAGCUACAGACGAAGAAAUGUAGUAAAAGUAAUAAGUUCACUUAGCUCGAGCCUGGUGAUGAACACUCCGAAAGUGGAACACGUAGCGCACCGGCCGGCACGAUUAAAUGUGGAUGUCUUUCUCGACGCCGGCAACAUUGGAUGCGACGGUUCCAGUUAGCAUGAUUGAAUCGAGCAAACCGGCAAAAUUAAGUAGGAUUGAUUCCGCUCCUUUGCCACAUAUUACGAGAAUUGUUCCGGAGUUUCAACUGCCUCUGAUGGAAUAUCCGCCACUAAAACUAACGUUGUUUAACAAAAAAUACAACGUCCAUGACAUGACGAAACGGUGGUUCGACCCACGUCCACAGACAGUGAAGAUAAGGAUGAUGAUGAUAAAGUAGGCGGACGAAUCAGUUUCAUUAAGCCAAAGGAUAAAUCGCCUAUGCCAAGGUUGUUUUGAAGAGGUUCGAGCGCUCGAAAUCAUCGUUGAUUCUGAGCUGCUUGAGUGAUGAUUUUGAUGAAGACGAGGAAUCGCCUAUAGUUACGCCAUCGCAGGGUUCAUUUUAUACGAUAGACACCGCGGAUGCACCACCGAAGGUUGAAGAGAAGAAACGACUUCCGUCCCGACAAUGAGCGGUAUUUCAGCAAUAGUUAACAGCCCGAUCAAGGAUCCUGGCCUAGGUAACCGAAACCGGUGGAAAAUGUAAAAACGAUAGAGCAACCGAAGUAAACCACGGGAUUUGCUUUCGGAAGUACAACUGCUACCGUCAGCUCGGCUCCGGUUACAGCACAUCAAUCCGAUACAUAGUUUACGUUUAGGACGCCCACUUAACCGUUACUGCUAAAAUCAUAUCAUCGGAAAUACCACGUAUCGUUUUCCUGUGCUUGGAUUUCGGUACGUACGGAAUCGGACGGCGUUUAUGGCCGAUACCAUUUUAUCGGAAAAUAAUGCGAUUCGAGGUAUUAAUCACACGCCUACAUCAAAAAAUUAUAUAAUUUGCAACUAAUAUUUUAAAA